UUUAAUAUUGCACCCUAGACCCCAACUCCUCUCUCUCACACACUAUAGUCACUAGUCAGAUCUCUCUCUCCUCUCACAGUCACCACGCACGCACUCUACACUCACGCUCUCAUUCUCUAAUUUCCAAGCACCACCACUGGCCACCACCACGCUGGCCGCCGCCGCCGCCGCACCACCACGUGCCACUCUCCAGCCGUGCGCCCCUGCCUUUGGCUGUGCCUCUGCGGUUCUAAUUUCUAUGGGCAUGGCUGAUUUUUUCCUAACCCUAAUUUAUGUUUUCCCCUAAUUUCUAAAGCAAAGGCAGGGUGUGACAGAACUGAGCCUCUUUGGGAGAAGCUGAACUGAUCUGAAUUUACUCUUGGUCUCUAUUCUUCGCUGCAUGUUUCCUGCUGCUUCGUGCCUCAAUUCUGUGUAUUCUGCACUGGUGCUUUUUACAUCUUAAUGUGGUCAUGAAAAUGUGAUGUUGUUUUGCCUGCUUGCUUUGCUCCCUGCUGGUGGUAACCUGGGACCAUUCAUUCUCAGUCUCUUACGAAUUGGAGUGGACUGUAUGCUGGUUUAGUGUGAUUGUUUUGUCCCCUGAUCUCUUUUUUUGUUUCUGCCCCCUGUAGCUUAGUACCUUUGUGUUUUUAAUGUUAAUUUUACUUUUGCUGGCCUUGUGAUCCUACUCUCGUGUGGAUCUUAGGUGCUGUGUUUUGUACUGGUUCCUUGGGCUCUCUUUUUGCUCUUGGUUCCCUUUCUAUUUCAAUAAAGCUUAUGUUUCCAAAAAAAUAAAUAAACAUAUUACAGUUGUUUUUAA